UACGAAGGGGGCUAGCGUUGUCCGGAAUCACUGGGCGUAAAGCGCGCGCAGGCGGUCAUCUACGUCUGGGGUGAAAGCCCGGAGCUCAACUCCGGGAUUGCCUUGGAUACGGGAUGACUUGAGGAUCGGAGAGGCAAGGGGAAUUCCACGUGUAGCGGUGAAAUGCGUAGAGAUGUGGAGGAACACCUGUGGCGAAGGCGCCUUGCUGGCCGAUUUCUGACGCUGAGGCGCGAAAGCGUGGGGAGCAAACAGG
rnacentral:rRNA from 1 species